rnacentral:rRNA from 1 species
CAGUCGCCGCGGGAAUACGGAGGGAGCUAGCGUUGUUCGGAAUCACUGGGCGUAAAGCGCACGUAGGCGGCUAUUCAAGUCGGGGGUGAAAGCCCGGGGCUCAACCCCGGAACUGCCUUUGAAACUAGAUAGCUUGAAUCUUGGAGAGGCGAGUGGAAUUCCGAGUGUAGAGGUGAAAUUCGUAGAUAUUCGGAAGAACGCCAGUGGCGAAGGCGACUCGCUGGACAAGUAUUGACGCUGAGGUGCGAAAGCGUGGGGAGCAAACAGGAUUAGAUACCCGAGUAGUCCCUGUCUCUUAUAA